rnacentral:rRNA from 1 species
GAUGAACGCUGGCGGCGUGCCUAAUACAUGCAAGUCGAGCGAACAGACGAGGAGCUUGCUCCUCUGACGUUAGCGGCGGACGGGUGAGUAACACGUGGAUAACCUACCUAUAAGACUGGGAUAACUUCGGGAAACCGGAGCUAAUACCGGAUAAUAUAUUGAACCGCAUGGUUCAAUAGUGAAAGACGGUUUUGCUGUCACUUAUAGAUGGAUCCGCGCCGCAUUAGCUAGUUGGUAAGGUAACGGCUUACCAAGGCAACGAUGCGUAGCCGACCUGAGAGGGUGAUCGGCCACACUGGAACUGAGACACGGUCCAGACUCCUACGGGAGGCAGCAGUAGGGAAUCUUACGCAAAGGGCGAAAGCUUGACGGAGCAAAGCCGCGUGAGUGAUGAAGGUCUUCGGAUCGUAAAACUCUGUUAUUAGGGAAGAACAAAUGUGUAAGUAACUAUGCACGUCUUGACGGUACCUAAUCAGAAAGCCACGGCUAACUACGUG